rnacentral:rRNA from 1 species
GACGAACGCUGGCGGCGUGCCUAAUACAUGCAAGUAGAACGCACAGUUUAUACCGUAGCUUGCUACACCAUAAACUGUGAGUUGCGAACGGGUGAGUAACGCGUAGGUAACCUGCCUGGUAGCGGGGGAUAACUAUUGGAAACGAUAGCUAAUACCGCAUAAUAUUGAUUAUUGCAUGAUAAUUGAUUGAAAGAUGCUAUUGCAUCACUACCAGAUGGACCUGCGUUGUAUUAGCUAGUAGGUGAGGUAACGGCUCACCUAGGCGACGAUACAUAGCCGACCUGAGGGGGGGAUCGGCCCCACUGGGACUGGAACACGGCCCAGACUCCUACGGGGGGCAGCCGUAGGGAAUCUUCGGCAAUGGACGAAAGUCUGACCGAGCAACGCCGCGUGAGGGAAGAAGGUUUUCGGAUCGUAAAGCUGUGUUGUAAGAGAAGAACGGGGGUGAGAGGGGAAAGUUCAAACUGGGGCGGUAUCUUACCAAAAAGGGGCGGCUAACUACGU